CAGCAGCAGCCACGGUAAUACGUAGGGUGCAAGCGUUAAUCGGAAUUACUGGGCGUAAAGCGUGCGCAGGCGGUUAUAUAAGUCAGAUGUGAAAUCCCCGGGCUCAACCUGGGAACUGCAUUUGAGACUGUAUGGCUAGAGUGUGUCAGAGGGGGGUAGAGUUCCACGUGUAGCAGUGAAAUGCGUAGAUAUGUGGAGGAAUACCGAUGGCGAAGGCAGCCCCCUGGGAUAACACUGACGCUCAUGCACGAAAGCGUGGGGAGCAAACAGGAUUAGAUACCCCAGUAGUCCCUGUCUCUUAUAC
rnacentral:rRNA from 1 species